AGGUGCUGCAUGGCUGUCGUCAGCUCGUGUUGUGAGAUGUUCGGUUAAGUCCGCUAACGAGCGCAACCCUCGCUGUGUGUUAUAUGUGUCACACGGGACUGCCGGUCGUUAAGCCGGAGGAAGGUGGGAUGAUGUCAAGUCAGCAUGGCCUUUAUAUCCAGGGCUACACACACGCUACAAUGGUCAGUACAAUGGGCUGCGAUGCCGCGAGGCGGAGCCAAUCCUAAAAAGCUGGCCUCAGUUCAGAUUGCAGUCUGCAACCCGACUGCAUGAAGUUGGAGUUGCUAGUAACCGCAGGUCAGCUAUACUGCGGUGAAUACGUUCCCGGGGCUU
rnacentral:rRNA from 1 species